CACGUAGGGUGCGAGCGUUGUCCGGAAUUAUUGGGCGUAAAGAGCUCGUAGGCGGUGUGUCGCGUCGGCCGUGAAAACUUGCAGCUUAACUGUGGGCGUGCGGUCGAUACGGGCAUCACUGGAGUUCGGCAGGGGAGACUGGAAUUCCUGGUGUAGCGGUGAAAUGCGCAGAUAUCAGGAGGAACACCGGUGGCGAAGGCAGGUCUCUGGGCACUUACUGACGCUGAGGAGCGAAAGCGUGGGGAGCGAACAGG
rnacentral:rRNA from 1 species